rnacentral:lncRNA from 1 species
UAAUGCAUCGUAAGCUAGCCAAUAAUAUAUAUGACGUACAGAAUAUUAAAAAAAAAUUAUUUGUAAGUGUAUUAAUUUGCGUUUAAGAAUAGUACUGCAUUCCAACCGUCCCCAAAGCAAGUGGCAAAGGGUUUGGUGGUUGGUACCCGAGACCCAAGUUCGAAUCCUAGUUGAUUCACAUUUCCAGCUAAGUUUAUUUCUAAAUGAAAUAAACGAAGCGGGUAGCGUGCUACCUAUCUCUCUCAAAAAAAAA